AGAGCUUGCUUUUUAAGCUUAGUGGCGAACGGGUGAGUAACGCGUGAGUAACCUGCCCUAGAGUGGGGGACAACAGUUGGAAACGACUGCUAAUACCGCAUAAGCCCACGGUGCCGCAUGACACUGAGGGAAAAGGAUUUAUUCGCUUUAGGAUGGACUCGCGUCCAAUUAGCUAGUUGGUGAGGUAACGGCCCACCAAGGCGACGAUUGGUAGCCGGACUGAGAGGUUGAACGGCCACAUUGGGACUGAGACACGGCCCAGACUCCUACGGGAGGCAGCAGUGGGGGAUAUUGCACAAUGGGGGAAACCCUGAUGCAGCGACGCCGCGUGGAGGAAGAAGGUUUUCGGAUUGUAAACUCCUGUCGUUAGGGACGAUAAUGACGGUACCUAACAAGAAAGCACCGGCUAACUACGUGCCAGCAGCCGCGGUAAAACGUAGGGUGCAAGCGUUGUCCGGAAUUACUGGGUGUAAAGGGAGCGCAGGCGGGAAGACAAGUUGGAAGUGAAAACCAUGGGCUCAACCCAUGAAUUGCUUUCAAAACUGUUUUUCUUGAGUAGUGCAGAGGUAGAUGGAAUUCCCGGUGUAGCGGUGGAAUGCGUAGAUAUCGGGAGGAACACCAGUGGCGAAGGC
rnacentral:rRNA from 1 species